UUAAGUGGCGGACGGGUGAGUAACGCGUGGGUAACCUGCCGUAUACAGGGGGAUAACACUUAGAAAUAGGUGCUAAAACCGCAUAAGCGCACAGCGCCGCAUGGCGCAGUGUGAAAAACUCCGGUGGUAUACGAUGGACCCGCGUCUGAUUAGCCAGUUGGCAGGGUAACGGCCUACCAAAGCGACGAUCAGUAGCCGGCCUGAGAGGGUGGACGGCCACAUUGGGACUGAGACACGGCCCAAACUCCUACGGAAGGCAGCAG
rnacentral:rRNA from 1 species